rnacentral:rRNA from 1 species
GACGAACGCUGGCGGCGUGCCUACUACAUGCACGUCGAACGCAGUGGGGACGGGUGAGUAACACGUGGGUAACCUCCCAUCAGAGGGGAUAACACUUUGAAACAGGUGCUAAACCGAUACUGAUGGAUGGACCCGCCGUGCAUUAGCUAGUUGGUGAGGUAACGGCUCACCAAGGCCAAGAUGCAUAGCGGACCUGAGAGGGGUAUCGGCCAAAUGGGGACUUAGAAACGGCCCAGACUCCUACGGGAGGCAGCAGUAGGGAAUCUUAGGCAAUGUCCGAAAGUCUGACCGAGCAACGCCGCGUGAGUGAAUAAGGUUUUCGGAUCGUAAAACUCUGUUGUUAGAGAAGCGGUAUCUAACCAGAAAGCCACGGCUAACUACGUGCCAGCAGCCGCGGUAAUAC